rnacentral:rRNA from 1 species
UACGUAGGGGGCAAGCGUUGUCCGGAUUUACUGGGCGUAAAAGAGCGCGCAGGCGGUCUUUUAAGUCGAAUGUGAAAGCCCCCGGCUCAACUGGGGAGGGUCAUUCGAUACUGAUCGACUUGAAGGCAGGAGAGGGUAGUGGAAUUCCCGGUGUAGUGGUGAAAUGCGUAGAUAUCGUUUGGAACGCCAAUGGUGAAAACAAGUAGCUGGGGAUGUGGCCGACGCUGAGACACGAAAGCCAGGGGAGCGAACGGG